UACGUAGGGGGCUAGCGUUGUCCGGAAUCAUUGGGCGUAAAGCGCGUGUAGGCGGUCCGGUAAGUCCGCUGUGAAAGUCGGGGGCUCAACCCUCGAAUGCCGGUGGAUACUGUCGGGCUAGAGUGCGGAAGAGGCGAGUGGAAUUCCUGGUGUAGCGGUGAAAUGCGCAGAUAUCAGGAGGAACACCGACGGCGAAGGCAGCUUACUGGGCCGAUACUGACGCUGAGGAGCGAAAGCGUGGGGAGCGAACAGG
rnacentral:rRNA from 1 species